rnacentral:rRNA from 1 species
UGACCUCGGAUCAGGAGAAUGAGCG